AGCGUCCGACUUCAGCUCAGGUCAUGAUCUCACGGUUUGUGGGUUCGAGCCCCACGUCGGGCUCUGUGCUAACAGCUCAGAGCCUGGAGCCUGUCCCGGAUUCUGUCUUCCUUUCUCUCUGCCCCUCCCCCAUUCACACUCUGUCUCUGUCUUUCUCAAAAAUAAACAAACAUUAAAAAAAUAAUAAUAAAAUAAAAAGAAAGGCACAGACAUGGAAAAGGCUUACAAAACCAGUAAUCUAGUUUGACUUGAACCACAUUUUUUUUCUUUCUAUUGAUGAGAUAGUGCCAUCUAGUUUGGCCUUCUCAAUAACUUUAUAGGCACUUCCUGUCUGAGUGACCUUGGGCACAUUAGUAAGACUCUUUGAGCAUCAAAAAUGGAGAUGAUAACAGAAAUUCCUGAGGUUUGCUUUCAAGAUUCAAUGAGAAUAAAUGAGAAAAGAACUGAGUUCCUCACACAUCCACAAAAUUGCUCAAUAAAGACUGACACUAAAAAAAAAAAAAAAAAAAAUUAGUCCUCAAGGGGCCUGAGAAAGUGAUCCUGGAUUAGCCUCCAACCUUGGAAUUGGGAGGUUUAUAGGAGCCACAGUGCAUGUGACAUCUCUCAGCUAAACUCUGGAAACUUCACAUCCAUUUAAAGUAAGUAGCAUUUGAUGACUGAAGAAAAUGUGAGUUAAUGUAUCCUUUCUUCUUUUUUUUUUUUUUUUUCAUAAGCUCCAUGCCCAACAUGGGGCUGGAACUCAGGACCCCAAGAUCAAGAAUCACAUGUUCCACAGACUAGGGCAGCCAGGUGCCACUGCACUUUGAUUUUUAACACCUUCCAGACUUUUAGGAAAAUUGCUGUUUGGAAACAGAGCCUGGCUGUGGCCUGUGGGGGCACCAGGGAAGUUGUUGGCUGAGCUGAGGAUAAACACCGGCGAUUCUAUUCUCAGUGACUGACUUCAACAUUAAUGCCAAUGCUUAUGACCGGAAAUCAGAUGAUGCAACGCAAAGCAGGAGCAUCAGAUUUUCAGAUGACAUGGGGCUUCAGGUGACAGCCAAGCCACUGGUUUGCCAGCCUGGAUGGGUGCAGCCCUGAGAAGGGAGAGAGAGCACGAGUGGGUGAAGGACAGAGGGAGAGAGUGAGAAUCCUAACCAGACUCCAUGCUCCACGUGGAGCCUGACAUGGGGUUCGGUCACACGACCCUGGGAUCGUGACCUGAGCCUAAAUCAAGAGUUAUUCACUCAACCGACUGAGCCACCCAGGUGCCCCUAAAGGUUUUAUUUCCAAGUAUGCUCCACACCCAAUGUGGGGCUCGAACUCAAAACCCCAAGACUGAGAUCAAGAGUCACAUGCUCUACCGACUCAGCCAGCCAGAUGCCCCCAAAAGAUUGUGUUUUGAGACAAAUGUUUGUUUGCUCAGAAAAAGCAGAGAAGGGGUGGGGGUGGCAAGCCACAACAAAUCCUGCCAUUAAAGCAAAAUUAGUACAGGUCUUAAAUUCCAGAGGUUACAAAACAGCCUGGCUGAGGUCACUCAUGCCUAAUUAUUGUGCCUAAUAAUUACCUUGACUAAUUAGAGCAAAGGUUUUGGAGUGUGUUUCUAUUCCCAGACAUUGAGUCAUCAGUGACCCAGAAUAAAUCAUUUCGCUCUAUUUGUGUCCUGCAUCUUCCACAUGGAAGCACCCUCGGCCAACCCCUCAGGGAAAUUCCAAAGGCCCCAUUAAUUAAUAUUUGGAAAACAAUGCAAUGUGUAUAUGUCAGGCCUAUAGAAACAUGACGUCAAUAUAUUCUGUAUGUUGGGUUCAUUUAUUUAAUUAUUCAACUACUCUCCAGGGGCACAUACUAUUUAUUAAGCUCCUACACGGAGCCAGUCCCUGAGAUACGAAGUAGGAAUUCAAAGUGAACAAGACAGAUGGGCCCCUGUCCUCAUGAAGCUUAUAGUCGCAGAUGGUAAGUAAGUAAAGCAACAGAGAAAAUUAUUACAAACUGUUAAGUGCUAUGAGGAAAACAAACAGAUCUCUGCCAAAGGUACUAGUAGGAGAGGUGAUCACGGUCGCUUCUUGGAGGAGGUGGUCCGCAAGCUGAGACCUGAAGGAAAUAGGCGGCUGAAUCUAUAUGGAAGACCCGACAGGAGGGAAAACACAAUGGGCGGGCAAGGGUGGUGAGGCGCUCACGACCAGCAUAGACUUUCUGGGUUUGAAUCCUGCUCUGCCAUUGACUUACGGGAGGAUCUUGUGUGAGUUGUUCGCCAUUCCUCCACGCCUCAGUUUCUCCAUCUGUAGAGCGGGGAUAACAACACUUGUCUCGUGGGGCUGUCAUGGAGAGUCAGCGAAGGGGUAUUUGUGAAGCACUUGAAGCUUUGCCCUGCACGGAUCACACAUCACCGUGGACGUAAGGGUGUCGAUGCGACACAUCCCCUCGCUCCCCUGGCUGUCCUGCAGGCAGAUGGUUUCCUGUUCUCUCCCUGCUUCCGCCCUGCAGGACCUGCAUCCCUCCUGUCCACGUGGGGGCGCGCUCCGGCUCAGCCUGGAAACGCGGGGAGCUGAAGUUCCAACGUUACACGCAUCAGGUGUGGACAGCAGUUGGGGGUUGAGGCCUCAGUCUCUCCGCUCUGCACCCAGCCCCCUGACCUGUAGCCUGCAUGGUCCCUCAGGUGACUGCACCAGCCCCGGUUAAGCUGACCGCCAGCGGCACACGGCACAAACCUGCUGGGUUCCUCAAGAGAACCCUCUGCUGGUCCUUCUGCGAGCCCUGUCUCAUUGCACGCCCUCACAGAGCUUCCUGGAAUCACCUCCUGGGGCGGUGAUGAGACUCCAUUACCAGUGAGCUCAGGCAUCUUUUCAAGUGUUCAUAAGGACCAUUUCCGCAUCAUCUUCUGUGAGUGGAAUCUUCUAUGAGAGUCUGUGGAUAUUUAACGUGUCUUUCUCAGAGCAUCCUAAUUCCAUCCGGUAGUGGCCACUUGUGUUCUGUUUUAUCAGUCUCCUGUGAAGUCACAUUCACAGCCUUUGACCUAAAGGAAGCCAACAGGUGGACUCCUCCGGGCCAUGCUGAUUGAUUGAGGACAGGGCUCAUGACCCACGAAGGGUCAGCCAGAGAAAACAAGUCCCCAUUCCUUGAUGUCUUUUCAAGCUAUUGGACAGAGAAACUCUGCCUUCCUCUACAUUUGAUUCAGUGAAGUGGCCAUGUAACACCCAGAGGAGCCAGGAGAUGAAGCACCACAGAGAAGGCAAAGCUGACGAACGCAGAGAUUCUGAGUCCGGAUGGUAUUAUCUGAGCUGCUGGGUCCAGCCUCGUCCAGAGACAAACUACGCUUGAAUUCCCCGGUGGUGUAUAAAUGAAUACAUUCUCUGUUUCAAUUAUCCUUA